rnacentral:lncRNA from 1 species
UUCCCUUUUAAAACAGUCAAGAGAUGUUGUCACAUUUUCUAUUAAUAUUCUCAUUCUCUAUUGUUACAUAUUCUAUUAAUAUUCUCUCAUUUUCUAUUAAUUUGUUUAGUAAUUCCCUACUCAGCAUACGCCUGUUAAGGAACCUCUUUAUAGGGUGUGAAACAUUCCAUUUUUUCCUCCUCUAGUCCAGGAAAACUAAGCACAACCUGAAGCCAUGAAUUUCGUUCUGGAGCAGAAUGCAUCCACAAGCAGAUGUCAAUACUGUUCUGCCUAAAUCCUGUUGUGGAAUUUGGUCUGAAAGCAUUUCUGAUCAUCAGAAAAUGGUGUUGUACUUUAGAAGAAAUGACUGUAUAUGGGGUGCUAGGUUGGUUACAUGACCCAUUCAACCCAGCCAGUAUUAUUCUGGAUAUUCCCUUUUUGCCUGUAGGAAGCCCUCAUCCUGCCUUCUCUAGCCAAAGAGGACUCGUGGAGAACUUUCAUGAGAUGUUCACCUAGAAAAAGCAGGGUGAGGUUCCUCCUGGUCGCCGCUGCUUCCUGGAAACACAAACUGGGAGAAAAGGUUGAAGAACAGGAGAAAGCAGCAGAGAGGACAAAAUAAAAA